rnacentral:lncRNA from 1 species
AAUGAAAUGAAAAUGAUAAGGAAAUAGGGAGGGAGGGGUCCCUAUUUAUAAAAAGUGGGGACUGUUAGAUUUGUACCAAGUGGCAAAAUCUGGUGAGAAGAGAAAAAGUUAAUGGGAAAGGAGUGAUGUGAUGCGACACGAUGGUGGCACAAAAAAUAGAGGCACGGCUGCCAAACGACGGCAGCACACUACCCAAGAUAGCAGCGACACACUGCCCAAGCCAGC